GACGAACGCUGGCGGCGUGCUUAACACAUGCAAGUCGAACGGAAAGGCCCUGCUUUUGUGGGGUGCUCGAGUGGCGAACGGGUGAGUAACACUUGAGUAACCUGCCCUUGACUUUGGGAUAACUUCAGGAAACUUGGGCUAAUACCGGAUAGGAGCUCCUGCUGCAUGGUGGGGGUUGGAAAGUUUCGGCGGUUGGGGAUGGACUCGCGGCUUAUCAGCUUGUUGGUGGGGUAGUGGCUUACCAAGGCUUUGACGGGUAGCCGGCCUGAGAGGGUGACCGGCCACAUUGGGACGGAGAUACGGCCCAGACUCCUACGGGAGGCAGCAGUGGGGAAUAUUGCACAAUGGGCGGAAGCCUGAUGCAGCAACGCCGCGUGCGGGAUGACGGCCUUCGGGUUGUAAACCGCUUUCGCCUGUGACGAAGAGUGAGUGACGGUAAUGGGUAAAGAAGCACCGGCUAACUACGUG
rnacentral:rRNA from 1 species